CCUGCGGAGGGAUCAUUACAAGAAGCCGAAAGGCUACUUCAAACCAUCGCGAACUCGUCCAAGUUGCUUCGGCGGCGCGGCACCCCUUAACGGGGGCGCCGCAGCCCUGCCUCUCCGGAGGUUCGGGGCGCCCGCCGGAGGUACGAAACUCUGUAUUAUAGUGGCAUCUCUGAGUAUAAAACAAAUAAGUUAAAACUUUCAACAACGGAUCUCUUGGUUCUGGCAUCGAUGAAGAACGCAGCGAAAUGCGAUAAGUAAUGUGAAUUGCAGAAUUCAGUGAAUCAUCGAAUCUUUGAACGCACAUUGCGCCCGGUAGUACUCUACCGGGCAUGCCUGUUCGAGCGUCAUUUCAACCCUCAAGCCCUGCUUGGUGUUGGGGCCCUACGGCUGCCGUAGGCCCUGAAAGGAAGUGGCGGGCUCGCUACAACUCCGAGCGUAGUAAUUCAUUAUCUCGCUAGGGAGGUUGCGGCGUGCUCCUGCCGUUAAAGACCCAUCUUUAACCAAGG
rnacentral:rRNA from 1 species